AGACCCCUGGAGAGACCUCACCAUGCAUAGAGACCCUCCCCAUGGUCAACACUCAUAAAGCAUUGUCUUGUAUCUGACUCAGAUUGCCACUGGGGAAGCCAUGAGAAGGGACCUUGCGGGGCUCCAACUCCAGGAAGCAUAACUGACCGAGGGCCUACGGCUAUGCUUGGAAGUCCAAGGCAGGGUUUGCACAGAGGCCUCGUCCCCCUCAUGCCUGCUCCCAGCCAAUGUCCCAGGGCAGGUGUUUCCUCUACUGAAAUCUGCACACUUGAUCUAGUUUGGGCUUCUGUUUCUCAGAAGACCCAGAUUCAGACACCACUCCCACAUCUUUUGAGUCAGAAGCCUCAGUAACAGACCUUCCCUGCUACAGUGUCUGGGCCAAGAAUUGGUGAAUUUGUUGGGCAAGCAGUCUUAUCUCAGUGGUGGUCACACACUGACUCCUGAAAAACUUGGGGCUGCAGGUCGAGCAUGUUCAAUUCACACAUAAGUGGAUACGAUUGCAUAUAAACUUUCUAUGACUGUAAUUUUUUGAAAGGUCUGCCUCGUGUCAGGCAUCAAAGGAUUGAGGAUCCAGGAGUGCAAAGUGAGGAAAACACACUCCUUACCUCCGAGUUGCUCAUAGACUAAUGCGGAAGGGAGGCAAGGAUGAAGGUGAUGAUAGGAAGAGAAGACAGGAAAAGUGGGAUGGUGGACUUGCAUAAGAAAUAAGGACCCUGUGUUUUGGAAAGAAAAAAAUAAUGGAGGCAGAAGGAAAGCAAAGUAAGCAGAAGAGGUAAAUGGAAACACAGAGAAGAGCCAGAGAGCUUGAUUUUAGGAGAGCUACCGA